rnacentral:rRNA from 1 species
GACGAACGCUGGCGGCGUGCUUAACACAUGCAAGUCGAACGGAAAGGCCCUGCUUUUGUGGGGUGCUCGAGUGGCGAACGGGUGAGUAACACGUGAGUAACCUGCCCUUGACUUUGGGAUAACUUCAGGAAACUGGGGCUAAUACCGGAUAGGAGCUCCUGCUGCAUGGUGGGGGUUGGAAAGUUUCGGCGGUUGGGGAUGGACUCGCGGCUUAUCAGCUUGUUGGUGGGGUAGUGGCUUACCAAGGCUAUGACGGGUAGCCGGCCUGAGAGGGUGACCGGCCACACUGGGACUGAGAUACGGCCCAGACUCCUACGGGAGGCAGCAGUGGGGAAUAUGGCACAAUGGGCGGAAGCCUGAUGCAGCAACGCCGCGUGCGGGAUGACGGCCUUCGGGUUGUAAACCGCUUUCGCCUGUGACGAAGCGUGAGUGACGGUAAUGGGUAAAGAAGCACCGGCUAACUACGUG